GCGCCCGUAGCUCAGCUUGGUAGAGCACUUGGUUUGGGACCAAGGGGUCGCAGGUUCGAAUCCUGUCUUCCCGA
rnacentral:tRNA from 1 species